rnacentral:rRNA from 1 species
AUACGGAGGAUCCAAGCGUUAUCCGGGAUUUAUGGGUUUAAAGGGAGCGUAGGUGGACGUAUAAGUCAGUUGUGAAAGUUUGCGGCUCAACCGUAAAAUUGCAGUUGAUACUGUAUGUCUUGAGUGUACAAGAGGUGGGCGGAAUUCGUGGCGUAGCGGUGAAAUGCUUAGAUAUCACGAGGAACUCCGAUUGCGAAGGCAGCUCACUGGGGUACAACUGACACUGAGGCUCGAAAGUGUGGGUAUC